AUUGAACGCUGGCGGCAGGCCUAACACAUGCAAGUCGAACGAGUGGCGGACGGGUGAGUAAUAUCUGGGACACUGCCUGAUGGAGGGGUAUCACUACUGGAAACGGUAGCUAAUACCGCAUACCAUCAGAUGUGCCCAUAGGGGAUUAUCUUGUUGGUGGGGUAACGGCUCACCAAGGCGACGAGCCCUAGCUGGUCUGAGAGGAUGACCAGCCACACUGGAACUGAGACACGGUCCAGACUCCUAAGUGAGGCAGCAGGGGGGAAUAUUGCACAAUGGGCGCAAGCGUGAUGCAGCCAUGCCGCGUGUAUGAAGAGGGCCUUCGGGUUGUAAAGUACUUUCAGCGGGGAGGCGUUACCCGCAGAAGAAGCACCGGCUAACUCCGUGCCAGCAGCCGCGGGAAUAC
rnacentral:rRNA from 1 species